UUUUACGCGUACCCUUUGUUUUUCUUCCAUGAAAAGCAUUAUAAAUUCUUAUCGGAUUAACAAAAUGGAUGGAUGGAAUUGUCGCACAUCGACCAUCCGGUAACGGUAGGAACAACAGACUGGAUGCUCCCAGACGCCCUCCUCCGCUCUACCCUUCUACGACACGAGGUAUUAACUCAUAAAUAAAGUGCAACGGCGAUUAUCCACAGUUCAGCGUUUACAUUUAGGUAGGUAUUUUUAAAAAUAAAAUCGUUCAAAAGAAUUCUACACACGCCCAACACUAGUUAAAGUCGAUUUAAAAACCACUAGAAUCACAACAUUAGACAUCCAUAACCAAUGCAACGUCAAUCUGGAAAACCAUCAAAUUAAAUUAUCCAAAAAUCAGACAUCAUUUCUACAAGCAGUCACUAUAACGAGACAAAAUAUUAAAAUAACGGAGAAUGACCUAUAAAAAUAUCCUUUAAGGGUUAAAAUGGAUUGUUCACUUUUGAAAGGAGUUGUGGAUGAUAAGAAACUACUUAUGUCAUAUGGAAAAAAAAUAUUUAGCUAUAAAUUUAGAAGUGUUGAAUAUUAUUUUAGGAAUAAUACAUUAUAAUUUCAUCCUCACUAAUGAUGCACUUCAAUAGAUCCAAGUCCACAGAAAGUUUGUAACAUUAAAAGGAAAUCAGCUCAAUCCGAAUACUCGAGUGAAGUGCAUUAGAAAAUCAAGUAGAAUCAGAAAUGUAUAAAAAUUAAAAAAAAAAAACUAUUUGAAAUAUAUACAAUUUAAAAUAUAGUUAUUUAACUACAUAAUAUAUAUUUAUAAUUGCUUGUGAGAAAUAAAGUUUGUGUAAGAAUCAUUUACUACU